UCCUAUGGCCAUGCCACCUUGAACAAGCCCGAUCCCAUCUGAUCUUGGAAGCUAAGCAAGGUCGGACCUGGUUAGUACUUGGAUGGGAGACCACCUCAGAAGACCAGGUGCUAUAGGCG
rnacentral:rRNA from 1 species